GGACGUGUAGAUCAGUUGGUUAGAUCGCUACGUUGACAUCGUAGAGGUCGCAGGUUCGAGUCCUGCCACGUCCA
rnacentral:tRNA from 1 species